rnacentral:rRNA from 1 species
ACAGCAGCAGCCACGGUAAUACGUAGGGUGCAAGCGUUAAUCGGAAUUACUGGGCGUAAAGCGUGCGCAGGCGGUUGUGUAAGUCUGAUGUGAAAGCCCCGGGCUCAACCUGGGAACUGCAUUGGAGACUGCACGGCUAGAGUGCGUCAGGGGGGGGUAGAAUUCCGCGUGUAGCAGUGAAAUGCGUAGAGAUGCGGAGGAAUACCAAUGGCGAAGGCAGCCCCCUGGGAUGACACUGACGCUCAUGCACGAAAGCGUGGGGAGCAAACAGGAUUAGAUACCCGAGUAGUCCCUGUCUCUUAUAC